AACCUCCGCAAUGUACGAAAGUGCGACGGGGGGAUCCCAAGUGUUAUGCUUAAUAGUAUGACUUUUCAUUAGUGUAAAAAGCUUUUAGAAUAAGAGCUGGGCAAGACCGGUGCCAGCCGCCGCGGUAACACCGGCAGCUCUAGUGGUAGCAAUUUUUAUUGGGCCUAAAGCGUCCGUAGCCGGUUUAAUAAGUCUCUGGUGAAAUCCUGUAGCUUAACUGUGGGAAUUGCUGGAGAUACUAUCAGACUUGAAGUCGGGAGAGGUUAGAGGUACUCCCAGGGUAGAGGUGAAAUUCUGUAAUCCUGGGAGGACCGCCUGUUGCGAAGGCGUCUAACUGGAACGGUUCUGACGGUGAGGGACGAAAGUUAGGGGCGCGAACCGGAUUAGAUACCCGGGUAGUCCUAACCGUAAACGAUGCGGACUUGGUGUUGGGGUGGCUUUGAGCUGCUCCAGUGCCGAAGGGAGCUGUUAAGUCCGCCGCCUGGGAAGUACGGUCGCAAGACUGAAACUUAAAGGAAUU
rnacentral:rRNA from 1 species